rnacentral:rRNA from 1 species
CCAGCAGCCGCGGUAAUUCCAGCUCCAAUAGCGUAUAUUAAAGUUGUUGCGGUUAAAAAGCUCGUAGUUGGAUUUCUGCUGAGGAUGACUGGUCCGCCCUCUGGGUGAGUAUCUAGGCUAUCCUUGGCAUCUUCCUGAAGAACGUAGCUGCACUUGACUGUGUGGUGCGGUAUUUAGGACAUUUACUUUGAGGAAAUUAGAGUGUUUCAAGCAAGCGCACGCCUUGAAUACAUUAGCAUGGAAUAAUAAGAUAGGACCUCGGUUCUAUUUUGUUGGUUUCUAGAGCUGAGGUAAUGAUUGAUAGGGAUAGUUGGGGGCAUUCGUAUUUAACUGUCAGAGGUGAA